GAUGAACGCUGGCGGCGUGCUUAACACAUGCAAGUCGAGCGAUGAAGCCCAGCUUGCUGGGUGGAUUAGUGGCGAACGGGUUAGUAACACGUGAGUAACCUGCCCUUAACUCUGGGAUAAGCCUGGGAAACUAGGUCUAAUACCGGAUAGGAGCGCCUACCGCAUGGUGGGUGUUGGAAAGAUUUAUCGGUUUUGGAUGGACUCGCGGCCUAUCGGCUUGUUGGUGAGGUAAUGGCUCACCAAGGCGACGACGGGUAGCCGGCCUGAGAGGGUGAGCGGCCACACUGGGACUGAGACACGGCCCAGACUCCUACGGGAGGCAGCAGUGGGGAAUAUUGCACAAUGGGCGCAAGCCUGAUGCAGCGACGCCGCGUGAGGGAUGACGGCCUUCGGGUUGUAAACCUCUUUCAGUAGGGAAGAAGCGAAAGUGACGGUACCUGCAGAAGAAGCACCGGCUAACUACGUGCCAGCCGCCGCGGUAAGAC
rnacentral:rRNA from 1 species